UGUUUGUAACUCUUGCAUUAGUUGUGGUAUAGGCUUUGUUAACUUGUAACUACUGCUAUUGGGGUUGUAAACAUAUAGGCUACUGGAGAAUCAUUUCAACCCACACCGCCCCCACCUCCUCUCCUCUCACCACCCCUUGAAACCUCCAUCGCCUCCACGACGCUUUAUCACUCACUGGUUCAAAACCCUAAUCAGAAACUUUAACUCGCCAGACCGGAUAGAACCACGUCCUCUCGCCGUCGAUUCAAAGCGCAAGGCAUCGGAAUACGACGUCGCUGACGAAUCCUGGAAACUAUCCAAGUGUUAGAAACCCUCGCCGGAAAAAUUCAUGGUCCGACUCGAGAUUUCCUCACCGGAUUACCGCACUCUGUUUGUCUUUUUCUCAGAAGUUCUCGGCCUAUUCUUUGUUCUACUGAAGUUGGGUAGAUGAUGACUGUGGAAGCUAGACGCACCACUUCAUAUCACUUUGUCGAUGGGUUUAGGGUUCAGUGGUCAAAGACGUCCUUAACCGCUCACAAGGCCUUGAUUCGGACUCCAAUAGAGUACAUGAAGCUGCAAUAAUGAAGGUUCAGCAUGGUUGAGAAGCAACAAGAAGAUAUGAAGGUUUAGCAUGGUUGAGACAAAUGGUAAGAGUUGUUGGAGUAAAGAAUUUGCACGCAAAUCCUUCGCCUUCCGACGAAGAGUUUCGGCUUGGUUCAAGGAGUGGAUUAAAUUUAUGCAAUGUGAUUAAUAAAGUACAUCCUCGAACUGUUUCUAAGGUUGUAGAAAGUUCAUGUGAUUCUGCUGCUUCACUGGAUAGAGCUGCUUUAUCUGCAUAUCAGUAUUUUGAGAAUGCGAGGAACUUUUUAGUCGCUGUUGAGCAAAUGCGGCUCCAUACCUUUGAAGCAUCAGAAUUAGAACAAGGAGGAAAAACAUCAAGAAUUGUGAAUUGUGUAUUGACACUCAAACCAUACAGUUAGUGGAAACAAACAAGUGGCCAUGGGACUUGGAGAUUUGGGGGAGUAGUGAAACUGAGAACGCCUAGCAAAGCAUUGUUCGUAGAAACUCAGGUCCCUUCUCAAAUUCUUUGUCAAGGAUGAAUGUUCAAUGUCAAGAUAACAAAAUGGUUAAGAAAGUUUGAUAUGGGUCUGGUGCUUAUGAAAGCUUUAAAUAUGGGUGUGGUGAGAGCAAAUGAUUAAAUAAUUAAGCUUUUACAAGCACAUAUAGCUUCAAUGAGCAACAACAAUCAAGUAGGGAGCACGAGGUUGACAUAUUAAGACAAAGCUUGCGAGUCAUCAGUUACAACAACUACGGCAGGAAGAGGAAACAACUUAGGCGACUUUCAUUUCACUUGGAUGUUGUGCUAAUAUGCCUUUGCAGGAUGUUACUGUUGUAUGAUUUAGUUUAUUAUGCUUCUUUUCCUUUUUGCUUCCCUUGGUAUAUUGUGGCGAGCCUCUGGCAUGUAGUUUUUUUAUGGAUUAAUAAAAAAUGGUCUUUUGUUUGCCAAACGUGGCGGGUAAUAC